rnacentral:lncRNA from 1 species
UUUCCCAACUUCCACUCCUAUAAAUACUCACAAACUCAUCUCAUCUCACAUGUGAAAAGAAAAAAUACACAAACAAAAUCAUCACUCUCUUUUUACUACCACUAAUCUUGGGAUUUUCUACGGAAAUUCUUAAUAAAAAGGAGCACUAAGCACUUGAUCGUUAAAAGUUAGAAAGCGCACAAGGUAAGGGCUUUUUCUCCAUACACUCAUGCUACGUAGGACAAUAUUGUAAAAUGAUAGUGAAACAUUUAUCUAA